AAUGGAAGGUGAUCGAGCUUACGAAAGUAAGUUAGGAAAGUCCAUGCUAGCACCAACUGAGAUGUUGGUAGUGUUUGUGCCUAAGGAAACAAUAACUUAGGGCAUCAUUAGAUGACGGCCUCAGAUGACCUAAGGUUUUAUACUAUGGUCUAUGAGAUAAAGUGCCACAGAGACGAUUAGAUUAGAAAUAAUCUAGUGAAACGCGGUAAACCCCUCAAGCUAGAAACCCAAAUUUUGGUAGGGGCACAUAAAAUAACGAAAUGAAGUUCAUUUUAUGCUAUGAAAAUAGAGAUAAAUGAUCACACUCUUAAAAGAGACAGAACAUGGCUUAUGCAC
rnacentral:RNase_P_RNA from 1 species